GCCUGGGUGGCUCAGUCGGUUAAGCGUCUGACUUUGGCUCAGGUCAUGCUGUCACAGUCUGUGAGUUCGAGCCCCACGUCAGGCU
rnacentral:tRNA from 1 species